UACGGGGGGGGCAAGCGUUGUUCGGAAUUACUGGGCGUAAAGGGCUUGUAGGCGGCUUGUUAAGUCAGACGUGAAAUCCCUCGGCUUAACCGGGGAACUGCGUCUGAUACUGGCGAGCUUGAGUGCAGGAGAGGAACGCGGAAUUCCAGGUGUAGCGGUGAAAUGCGUAGAUAUCUGGAGGAACACCGGUGGCGAAGGCGGCGUUCUGGACAGUGACUGACGCUGAGACGCGAAAGCGUGGGUAGCAAACAGG
rnacentral:rRNA from 1 species